rnacentral:rRNA from 1 species
GAUGAACGCUGGCGGCGUGCCUAAUACAUGCAAGUCGAGCGAACGGACGAGAAGGUUGCUUCUCUGAUGUUAGCGGCGGAGGUGUGAGUAACACGUGGAUAACCUACCUAUAAGACUGGGAUAACUGCGGGAAACCGGGGCUAAUAACGGAUGAUAUUUUGAACCUCAUUGUUCAAAAGUGAAAGAUGGUAUUGCUGAAACGUAUAGAUAGAUCCUGGAUGCAUGAUGUAGUUGGUAAGAUAACGGCUUACGAAGGCAACGAGGCAUAGCCGACCUGAGAGGGUGACCGCCCACCCUGGACCUGGACCACGCCCCAGACUCCUACGGGAGGCGGCAGUAGGGAACCUUCGCCAAUGGCCGAAAUCCUGCCGGAGAAACGCCGCGUGAGUGAUGAAGGUCUCCGGAUCGUAAACCUUUGUUAUUAGGGAAGACCAUAUGUGUAAGUAACUGUGCACACCUUGACGGUACCUAAUCAGAAAGCCACGGCUAACUACGUG